CAUUAACGAAUUGUACUGGAAGGCUGAUGCUGGCAAGCUGAUUCUUUGGCUGCAUGUGCUCACUUCUUAACAAUAUUUAUCCAAACACCUGUGCACCUUUUGUGAAGAGGGUCCUCGCAGGAAUGGAUCCACUGUCUUUCAUAUGAAUUCGGUGGUUCUCUUGCGGGGUUCCCUUCCACACAAAUCCUCCCUACACAACAUACUCCUUUAAUAUUAUUGAACGUGGUUGGGCCGAAAGGCCUUUAUAAUGUUAUACAACUUUUAACAACGGAUCUCUUGGCUCUCGCAUCGAUGAAGGACGCAGCGAAAUGCGAUAAGUAAUGUGAAUUGCAGAAUUCAGUGAAUCAUCGAAUCUUUGAACGCACCUUGCGCUCCUUGGUAUUCCGAGGAGCACACCUGUUCGAGUGUCGUGAAAUUGUCAGACUGUUGAAGCUUUUGACUUCGGUCAAGAAUUUAUCUCAGUUUGGUGUUGGGCUUCUUUGCCGUGCCUUUGAUUGGAACGGCUGGCCUUAAAAGCAUUAGCUGGCCCUUGUGAGUGUGUUGGUUCUACUCAGUGUGAUAAUUACUUCUGACCGCUGAGGACAUCUUGCGAGAUGGCCCAUUCUCAUUUGGACUGCUUCUAAUCUGGUUGAUGGAUUUCUGAAUCUGUCCCACUUCUAAUUUUGACCUCGAAUCAGGUGGGACUACCCGCUGAACUUAAGCAUAUCAAUAA
rnacentral:rRNA from 1 species